rnacentral:rRNA from 1 species
UACGUAGGGGGCAAGCGUUGUCCGGAAUCAUUGGGCGUAAAGAGCGUGUAGGCGGCUCGAUAAGUCCGCUGUGAAAGUCCAGGGCUCAACCCUGGAAGGCCGGUGGAAACUGUCGGGCUAGAGUCCGGAAGAGGCGAGUGGAAUUCCCGGUGUAGCGGUGAAAUGCGCAGAUAUCGGGAGGAACACCCGUAGCGAAGGCGGCACUCUGGGCCGGUACUGACGCUGAGGAGCGAAAGCGUGGGGAGCAAACAGG